UUUUUUUCGCCCGAUAAUAUAUCGAAGUGGAAAGCAGCUGUCAAGAUGAUUCAUGUUAGCUAUUUUACCCCAACAUCCUUUUAGAAACAUGGUCAACCACUUACAAGGGGACAUCUCAUAUAGAGAGACUAUAAUUAUUUAAUUGUAAACAUUUACGAUUUAUAUUACAUACAUUCAAUUUGGAAGUUUUCAACCUGAAAACCAGUUCAAAAGUUAUCUCAAACGUAAAAAAAAGAUGUCAUUUAUUUUUAUAAGCAAGUUUAGCAAGUUCUUCACGAAUUGCCGUUGAACUGACCUUUAAGGAAUUAUUGUCUUUAAGGUUCAGUUCUUGAGCUGGAUACAACAAGUCGAUACAGUAAAUUGAUAAUUCUGGUAACCCCCUUUUUACUCUUUCCUCUUGCACAGCUGUUGCGCCUGUCUUCGUCUCUUCAGAAACAAUCAAACUGUCAAUCUCGGCAUCUGUUAUGGUAGGUCCAAACGGAUCAUGAAUAGUGACUACACGACAGUUGAUAUCUUCUUUUAUAGAAUGAAGGAAAUUCGAUACUUCCUCCUUUCUCUUUUGAAUGUUCUCUAAAAACUCCUUUUGAACCUUCUUUUUAAGCAACUCAUCUCCUAAAAUUAUCAGCGUUCGACCGUUUUCAUUUUUCGUACCUGAAACACCAACAAUCACCUCUUUUACUCCAAACCAGGCAGUUAAAGUUAGCAAGACCUUAUGGCCGACAUGUAAAUGAUCGAAAGUUCCACCUACUACAUUAAAUAAUUAGUUGACAAAUGAAUUAAGAGUCCGUACCAGCAGAGACCAUAUUGUUGAUCUCUUUUCCAGAAUCCUCAGACUCAUCUUUUUUAGGUAAAUGCUCAAUAUUAUGGAUCUCAUUUAGCACGUCUGGCCCAAUCGAUUGGAAACUCUUUGCCGGUAUAUUCAAAAUUUGGUCUUCAAAAAAAUAGUUAUUAAUAAAUACUUUCUGUUAUUCAAUUUACCUUUAGCAUUUUCAGAAUAAUAUACAGAGUUCCAUGAAUCUGUAAUACUGCCCAAUUGGAUGUUCGACCAAUACUCAAAUAAUACAAUUGUGGGCACAACAGAAAGCAAAGAUGAAUCAUUUGUAGUUGCUGAAGAAAGAUAUAAUUCACAAAGCGCAUUUUGCAACUCACGAAACAAAUGCUUCGUUCUUUUCUGACACAUUUCAGAGCAACUUACCCAGAUAUAUAAUUCAUUGCCUUUAUGAAUGCUAAGCUCUCUCGCAAUUUUCGAUAUUAUCGUAGAAUAUUUAAUACACUCAUUUAAGCUGCUUAGCUUAAUAAAUAUAAGAGUUUUCCC